GGAGGUGAGGGUGAUCUGGCUGCGACAUCUGUCACCCCAUGGAUCGCCAGGGUUGAUUCAGCUGAUCUGGCUGGCUAGGCUUGUGUUCCCUCCCUCCCUCACCACUCUACUUUGUCCCUCCCAAAGCUGCUGGAUUGAAGAGGACGACCACCUCCGAUAGAGGAGGACGUUUCCUCAGUCAAGGGUAUAUGAGUAGCUGGGUUCCCCGACUAGAUCCAAACAAGCUCUCGAGGGAUCCAUAGACUUUGGGUUCUAACCCAUUAAUCAGGAAAUCUUUCAAGCUGAUGGAUAUGGUAAAAAUUU
rnacentral:snRNA from 1 species